GGAUAUCGUGGUUCGAUAGUCCCACAGACGGCGCCAGCUGAUGAAGCACGGAAUCUGCUACCAGUAGGCUCGCGGGGUUGCGAGGAGGGCCGGAGGCUUUGGAGUCCACGACGCGCGCUCUACGUCAAUAUACCUGCAGAAGAGGAGGGGAAUCGGCGACUCCCUUGGGAGUAGGCGAUUCGGGCUCCUUGGAUUGCUCUGGUUGGAGUGUGUGUCAAGAGGAUAUGAGUUGAGGGUAGAGGUCCCCCAAGGACCCCUUUUAUAGGGUCUUGGGGGACGUUUCCCCAUUCAUUCGAGUGGGGCCCAUGCCAUUAAGGUAUCCUAUUAAGGAAUGCCUUAAUGGCGAAGGUCCGCUCAAGUAACGGCUGGGAGUCGGCGAUUCAGGUAUGGGAAUCGCCGAUCCAGAGGUUCAAUCGCCGACUCCCCAUGAGCCUAGUGGCAGCCUACCAGAGCUGUCCACGAGGCCUAGAGUUGGCGAUUCCCCCCUGGAGUCAGCGACUUGGUAGUCCCAAUCCGCGACUCCCAAGUGUUAGCUUGAGCUCUUGACGUAGACACGUGCUCCGCACCGUGGAAGCCUUUCCGGGGGUCCGGCAUAUAGCGACGGAACCCUAUUCCUUGUUUGAAGGGCGUUGCUGGGAGUGACUGACGUAAUCAGGCAUGUCUCACCAGUUGUCUUUAAAUUUAUUAAUCGUUAUUGCGGCUUGCUAUUCGUUGUGAAGUUUAAUUUAUUUUUGCGAAUUUAGCCGUAGACUGAGCUACGAUUCGUACGACCAAGUCUACUCCCAGAGUGGCUAGCGAUAGGGUUAGUCUAAUUUACGUCCAGAGCGGCUAAAUUACGACUCGCGAAUCUAGUUUCGGGUCUUAGUUACAAUUCAAAAGAAUAAAGUAAAUAAACAACUCAAUAGAAAAGCAAAAAACGAUUAAUUUCAUUAAAAAAUUUCAGAUUACAAAAAAGAUAACAAAAAGGAUUACAACAUAAGGACUUAGAUCUAAUCUUGUGCAGCUUCGUCCUUCAUCUUGUCGAGAGCCUCUUUAUUCUUCUCGAGCUCCUCAGGAUAUUGCUCAACCCACGCCAUUAUGUCCGUGAUGUAAUCGGGGGGUAGAGCGGGAUACACGGAAGGAACAAAGAAUAUGAGCUCUUAAAGCUGGUCGGAUUGGUAACGUACAUCCAAAUCCAGCCCAGCAGCUCUCCCAGCAAGUGCGGCAUUGUCAUCUUUUAGAGUCAGAACCUCUUCUUCCGCACUCGCGAGCUCGCUUUUUAGCUCAGUGGUUUCUCGUUGGCUCUGAGCAGCUUGCUUCUUCAACUCCACUAUCGCAGCCUCAAGUGAGGCUACGUGCCCUCUUUCACUAGCUAGCUGGCUCUUCAGAUCUUCGAUUUCUUGAGCGCGGCCAGAACUAGCAACUUUCAGAUCUUUUCGGAGUGCUAAGAUCUCCGCGACAUAGUCAUCGAUCUCUUUCUGCUUGGACUCAAUAGUUUUGUCCUUCUUGGGCAGAAUGUUGUCGCGAAGGUUCUCCAUUCUCGAUCUCACGUUCUUCAGCUUGUCGAGAGCCUUCUCACUCUCCUUGAACUUCGUAUCUGAUGAAGCACGGAAUCUGCUACCAGUGGGCUCGCGGGGUUGCGAGGAGGGCCGGAGGCUUUGGAGUCCACGACGCGCGCUCUACGUCAAACACCUGCAGAAGAGGAGGGGAAUCGGCGACUCACGUGGGAGUAGGCGAUUCGGGCUCCUUGGUUUGCUCUAGUGGGAGAGUGAGUCAAGAGAGGAUAAGUUGAGGAUAGAGGUCCCCCAAGGACCCCUUUUAUAGGGUCUUGGGGGGCGUUUCCCCAUUCAAUCGAGUGGGGCCCACGCCAUUAAGGUACCCCAAUAAGGAAUGCCUUAAUGGCGAAGGUCCGCUCAAGUAACGGCUGNN
rnacentral:lncRNA from 1 species